rnacentral:rRNA from 1 species
UACGUAGGGUGCAAGCGUUGUCCGGAAUUAUUGGGCGUAAAGAGCUCGUAGGCGGUCUGUCGCGUCGAAUGUGAAAACCCGGGGCUCAACCCCGGGCUUGCAUUCGAUACGGGCAGACUAGAGUUCGGUAGGGGAGUCUGGAAUUCCUGGUGUAGCGGUGAAAUGCGCAGAUAUCAGGAGGAACACCGGUGGCGAAGGCGGGACUCUGGACCGAUACUGACGCUGAGGAGCGAAAGCGUGGGGAGCAAACAGG